UUUUAAAAUUCUUUUUCCACCUUCUAAUCAUUCUUGUGACCACAAACUGAUAUCCGUACCUCCCAAAUAUGUUCUUCAAGAAUUCAAAGGUACUGAACAUAAGGAUCUUUCACUUCUGGAAGCGCAAGGGUUGCUUGAAAAUGCGCGAACCGCUAGGUAUAAUUUACGAAAAUCGAAUCUAGGAUAUACAGAAUUGUUUGUAGCGUAACUUGGUACGUGGGUAUUCAAUGAACUUGAAAUUUUGCAAGCUGAUCAUACAUGAUGAAAGUAAGACUCGAUUA
rnacentral:lncRNA from 1 species